rnacentral:rRNA from 1 species
UAGGGAAUCUUCGGCAAUGGACGAAAGUCUGACCGAGCAACGCCGCGUGAGUGAAGAAGGUUUUCGGAUCGUAAAACUCUGUUGUUAGAGAAGAAAAAGGACGUUAGUAACCGAACGUCCCCUGACGGUAUCUAACCAGAAAGCCACGGCUAACUACGUGCCAGCAGCCGCGGUAAUACGUAGGUGGCAAGCGUUGUCCGGAUUUAUUGGGCGUAAAGCGAGCGCAGGCGGUUUCUUAAGUCUGAUGUGAAAGCCCCCGGCUCAACCGGGGAGGGUCAUUUGAAACUGGGAGACUUGAGUGCAGAAGAGGAGGGUGGAAUUCCCGGUGUAGCGGUGAAAUGCGUAGAUAUAUGGAGGAACACCAGUGGCGAAGGCGGCUCACUGGUCUGUAACUGACGCUGAGGCUCGAAAGCGUGGGGAGCAAACAGG